rnacentral:rRNA from 1 species
AUUGAACGCUGGCGGCAGGCCUAACACAUGCAAGUCGAACGCGGGGGGGAGGGGAGAGCAAUGUCGGGAAAACUGCGUGAUGGAGGGGGAAAAACACGGGAAACGGUAGAAAAUAGCGUAUAACAACGGAUGCGCACAGAGGGGUUUAGCUAGUAGGGGGGGUAAGGGCUCGCCGAGGAGGCGAUCCCUAGCUGGUCUGAGAGGAUGACCAGCCACACUGGAACGUAGACACGGUCCAGACUCCUACGGGAGGCAGCAGUGGGGAAUAUUGCACAAUGGGCGCAAGCCUGAUGCAGCCAUGCCGCGUGUAUGAAGAAGGCCUUCGGGUUGUAAAGUACUUUCAGCGGGGAGGCGUUACCCGCAGAAGAAGCACCGGCUAACUCCGUGCCAGCAGCCGCGGUAAUAC